rnacentral:rRNA from 1 species
GGCGCCGCCGCCUCGGCCCUCGUCGGCGGGACAGCGGACCCCUGCCGAAAAGUUGGUCAAACUUGAGCAUUUAGAGGAAGUAAAAGUCGUAACAAGGUUUCCGUAGGUGAACCUGCGGAAGGAUCAUUA